rnacentral:rRNA from 1 species
CGCUGGCGGCAGGCUUAACACAUGCAAGUCGAACGCCCCGCAAGGGGAGUGGCAGACGGGUGAGUAACGCGUGGGAAUCUACCCAGUUCUACGGAACAACUGAGGGAAACUUCAGCUAAUACCGUAUACGCCCUACGGGGGAAAGAUUUAUCGGAAUUGGAUGAGCCCGCGUUGGAUUAGCUAGUUGGUGAGGUAACGGCUCACCAAGGCGACGAUCCAUAGCUGGUCUGAGAGGAUGAUCAGCCACACUGGGACUGAGACACGGCCCAGACUCCUACGGGAGGCAGCAGUGGGGAAUAUUGGACAAUGGGCGCAAGCCUGAUCCAGCCAUGCCGCGUGAGUGAUGAAGGCCCUAGGGUUGUAAAGCUCUUUU